AACCAUUGUGAACGUUACCUUCAAACCGUUGCUUCGGCGGGCGGCCCGGGUCCGCCCGGUGCCCCCUGGCCCCCUCGCGGGGCGCCCGCCGGAGGAAACCCAACUCUUGAUACAUUAUGGCCUCUCUGAGUCUUCUGUACUGAAUAAGUCAAAACUUUCAACAACGGAUCUCUUGGUUCUGGCAUCGAUGAAGAACGCAGCGAAAUGCGAUAAGUAAUGUGAAUUGCAGAAUUCAGUGAAUCAUCGAAUCUUUGAACGCACAUUGCGCCCGCCAGUAUUCUGGCGGGCAUGCCUGUUCGAGCGUCAUUUCAACCAUCAAGCCCCAGGCUUGUGUUGGGGACCUGCGGCUGCCGCAGGCCCUGAAAACCAGUGGCGGGCUCGCUGUCACACCGGGCGUAGUAGAUUUUAUCUCGCUCAGGGCGUGCUGCGGGUUCCGGCCGUUAAAAAGCCUUUUUUACCCAAGGUUGACCUCGGAUCAGGUAGGAAGACCCGCUGAACUUAAGCAUAUCA
rnacentral:rRNA from 1 species